AUCGAGCGUGAGGGCGGCGCGAGCGGUUGCGCGAAGAACUAGUAGCGAACUACUAGCGAAUCUGGCGGAAAAACAAUCAAAACCUCUUCUGACAGUUCCCACGCGAAGCAAUUUCCUCGAAUUAACUUGCGCAGUUCUUGUGGAAAAAUCGGGAAAAUAUUGAAGAAAGUCCCGUAAAACCCAGUGAAAAGGUGUGUAAAAACUCUUGAAUAUAUUUCUUUGUGCUGCAAAGUGAGAAAAAAUAGGUGUAUUUGUGAAAAAUUGCAUCAACGGCGACCAGCGAAAUUCUCUGGAGGUGUCAUUCCACAGUUUCCAGGUAUGAAACCGCAGCAAAAAUUGCUACGGGUCCACACCAGAACAUGCUAGAGUACCCUUCAUCGCUAAUCUCCGGAAGUGAACCCCCAUUGCCCAUUCAAAAAGAGCCACGAAUCUGGCGUCCUCCCCACUUCACUGGUGAAGACCGACUGAGCGAUAUCGUCACUUGAAGUUAGCUGUGGUUACAACACCUCUCAAAGUUACACCCCAACUGGACAAUGAUUGGUACUGUUGGCUUAGAAGAGUCUUUGUCGAGACGGGCUUUCUCCCCAACUCCUCUAGGCUCAACAGUCCUACUACAAUACAUUGAUGUCACGAUGAACAGCAUCUUUUUAUUUCAAGUGGUAACAGACCAUCAGAAUGGAUUGUAUGCAAUAUCAUACGGUAUAAGAGAUCCUGGUAAAAGGCAUAUGAAUAUAUCAUUUGUGUUUUGCUGAUUUGUGUUAUAGAAACAAAUUCUAUUAGAUGGACUUAAGCUUGAAAGGCAUUCAAUUGUUCAGAAUAAUUAUAAAAAGCAAUGUAUUUAUUAAAAUCUAUUUUUAAAAUAAAUUUACUGUCUAUUAGAAAGUCUCUUUUAUACCCUACUCAAACCUAAUUUUCAAGUUUUUGACAAAAUAUUUAAAUUCUGUGUCAUGCUGGAUCCACAUAAUGAUUCGUGCUUCAGAUUCGCCUAGGUUUUUGCAAUUUGACAAAACUUCUGGGUAAAUGUAAGUAUUUUGAUAAACAAACAAACUAUGAUUCUAUCUAUCGAUUAUAAUAUCACUGAUUUUGUACUUCGUUAGCAUUACAGUAAACGUAACACUUCAUGCUGAUAUUUAAACUUUGGUUAAAAAGCAAUGCCCUAUUUUUGUAAUUUCAUAUGCGUUCCAUAAUAAUUUAUCGCCACUUUAACCCUCUAACUGGUAAGACCUCUCGAGACGAUCUUCACAAAAAUCACAUUUACUGCGAUUACAAUUUAUUUAAAAGUGCUAUAAUGUCCUCGGUAUACUAACAUCUUUUGAAAGUUUGAUCUCAUUUUGACUUCGUUUAGUUGCUAUCCCCAGUUUUGUGUGACACGUCAGAGAAAAGCAACAAAAAAUAUUUGUACAGAACAAACUCAUUUCUAAUUCCAAGAAAAAUACCGGUUUAAAGUUAUCUGAGUAAAAUAAAUUUAUUUUUUACUUAACUCUUUCCGAACCACAACAUAUCCAGCGAACGAAUUUCAGUAAAACUCACUUUAUUGUAAGUCUUAGUGAUCAAAUAUGAUACUUUUGUAGAGAAAGAAUUUUGUCCGCCUCUGGGAAAUUGGAAAACUCAUGGGUACUCUCGUCCCCAAAAGAGCGAAAAGGAGACAAACUUCAAUUUUCCAAAAGCCAAUAAUAUCAAUUUUGUGAAUUGUUUUUGCGUGUUAAAUGACUCCUUUACAAUGUUGAUCACUAAAACAAGAAGAAUUAUUGACCAGUAUCUUGUGGGAUGUCCAGGAAGUGGUCAAGAAGACACCAAGUUUCUGCUUGCCAACAGAUUCCUCAAAAUAUUUCACAUAAUAACACUUUAAAACACAUUUCCUUCAACACGAAGUUAUUGUAGACAUAUUAAGCUUUCUCAAGAGCCAAAAAAACACUUCUUGGACAAACAGAAUUCACCAAAAUCCGGAAGAAUAGGAGAAACUUCCCCGAAAGCAAUCUGCCUCGCUGCCAAAUGUCAAAAUUAUCAGCCAUAUUGGCAAAAAAGUAGUUCCCGCUUGGAAUUUUGAUAAAAGGUUGGUGUCAAAAAGCAAAUGGCAGGCAUUGGCGGGAUAACCUUACAUUUGACCUCUAGAGUUUUGUGGACGAGAGUACCCAUAAAGUUUGAACAAGUUUUUUGAAAAUUUAAGAAAGAAAUAUUUUUCGAAUUUAUGCAAUCUGUAAUUGCUAGUUAUCAUACUUAUUGGCCCCGAGAGGUUUUUCCUUAUUCUGGUCUAGAAAUAUCAAAAAAGUCACAAUAUCUGCAAGGAAGCAGAAAAUCGAAAAUUCACGAUUUUUGACCAAAAAUAUCUAAGCUCAGGAGUUAAUUAGGAUCCUGCAAAAAAUAUCCUAGAUUUGGACAUCUUUAUAGUUUGUAAUUAUCCAGAAGAAUCAGAUUUUUAUCGAUUCUAGAUAGUCUAAAAAAAUUGUUGCUUCCAUGGGUACCCAUAGUCCCGAAGGAGACGAAAGAGUUAAAGAUAUGUCAUUCUACAUUGUAUAUUUUAUUUGAAAAAUUUUGAAAAAAGUAAAAAUGUGAAUUUUAAAAGCAAAAAGUUUCAUUUUUUUUAAAAUAUUUUCUCACCUAGCGUCUAAACUAAAAGAGAUAAUAAAGAAUGGAUGAUUUUUUUUACUUUAUUGGCUCAUAAAUAUCCUAGAAAACAUUUCCUUACAACUUUUUUUCGCAUAUUAAAGAUAACACUGUUAGAGGGUUAAUAAUCCUAAACGAAACAAAGAAAGUGGGAAAAUAUUCCUAGCAAAAUGGAGUCAUUUUAGGUUAUAUUCUAACAUAAUUCUAAUAAACUAAAAACACUGAGUAAAAAAAAUUAAGUAAAAUUAAAUACAAAAAUAUUUUACCCCUAAUUACAACUCUGUUAAAGCGCCAUCUCUGAUGAAUAAGGGGGUACCUUACAGGUACUUAAAAAAUAACGAAAA